rnacentral:rRNA from 1 species
GACGAACGCUGGCGGCGUGCUUAACACAUGCAAGUCGAACGGAAAGGCCCUUCGGGGUACUCGAGUGGCGAACGGGUGAGUAACACGUGGGUGAUCUGCCCUGCACUUUGGGAUAAGCCUGGGCAACUGGGUCUAAUACCGAAUAUGAUCAUCGGCUUCAUGGUCGGUGGUGGAAAGCUUUUGCGGUGUGGGAUGGGCCCGCGGCCUAUCAGCUUGUUGGUGGGGUAAUGGCGUACCAAGGCGACGACGCGUAGCCGACCUGAGAGGGUGACCGGCCACGCUGGGACUGAGCUACGACACAGACUCCUACGGGAGGCAGCAGUGGAGAAGAUUGCACAAUGGGCGGAAGCCUGAUGCAGCGACGCCGCGUGGGGGAUGACGGCCUUCGGGUUGUAAACCUCUUUCAGCACAGACGAAGCGAAAGUGACGGUAUGGGCAGAAGAAGGACCGGCUAACUACGUG